rnacentral:tRNA from 1 species
GGGGUUGUAACUCAGUGGUAGAGUGUCCGCUUUGCAUGCGAAAAGCCCGGAGUUUAAUCCUCCGCAACUCCA